GUGAGGGUGGAGAGGGGAAUGCAGUCAAGAUUCCUUCAUGACUCAUAUUUCUCUAUUGAAAACUAAGGUUUCUGGUCACAUUAGGGUAGAGAAAUUGAUAGCAGCUGCAGAUGGGAAAGUUUGAACACGUAUCUCCCUAGGCAGUAUUUUCCCUGGUGUUUUCUGUGCCUGCGCUAUGUUGUAAAGUAUUGUAGAUUGCAGUUUUAUGGUUAGCUGAAGCUUCUUCAGUUAGGUAGAAGAACCAAAACCAUUUAAUCCUUUUUCUUCAGAACACUCACCAUGUUUUAUGCUCUUUCUUCAUUUGUUGCAGUGCUGGUGUGACAUCUGCCUGUCCUCACUCAGCAUCAGUGAUGUUGAAUUCUACAGAUGGGAACUAAGAGAUGGUUCCUUUGGUAAAAUGCAUGCUGUGGUGAAGAUGAGGGCCUGAUCCUCAACACCUACAUAAGAAGCUGGGCAUGGUGGCACAAGGCUCUCAUCCCUGUGUUGAGAAGGUGGCCAUCUGUCGUGGCCAAGUGGCGUCACCUUUACUCAGUAAGCUCCAGGAAUUCCAUCUCUUUCUUUUUCUGUGUUAUAUAAUUUAUUUACCCAAUUUUUGGUGGGUAGUACUGGAUCUCAGAUCCUUAAUGCAAGUGAAGUGUUAAAGCUGUUGCCUUGCAUUCUGAAGGAUCAGCCGAAUAAUUCUGGAGUGUGAAACGUAGUCUACUGAGAGAAUGGCAAAGGCAUGGAGCAGUUCACUGAUGCCACGGUAGAUCCAUAAGGAGAACAGAGAUGUCAGAGAGGGAGACUUUGGGGUUGAGUGCUGAGCAGCGUCCCCUCUGUGCCUCUCCCUGCCUGGAUAUACAGACGGAAAUCACCGCAGGCAUUUGACUGCUUCAUGUAGCCCCGGAAAGGAUACUGUGGGUCAUCUCAGAGCCAAAACUAGAAACAAGCACCUUUGAAAAAUAGCCCAGUGAAUGUGAAAGAAGCAUUUCUGCAGAGGGAGCUGCCAGCAAGACUUGUUCCUUUGCCAGAAGGGGUGCUGGGCGAAAGCCUCUAUCCCUCAUUAAAUCAAUAAAAUCAAG
rnacentral:lncRNA from 1 species